rnacentral:rRNA from 1 species
UAUCCCCCUGUGUGCCUUGUCCCUACGACUAGCAGAGGACUCCUACGGGAGGCAGCAGUGGGGAAUAUUGCACAAUGGGCGCAAGCCUGAUGCAGCCAUGCCGCGUGUAUGAAGAAGGCCUUCGGGUUGUAAAGUACUUUCAGCAGUGAGGAAGGUGGGUAUGUUAAUAGCAUACUCAUUUGACGUUAGCUGCAGAAGAAGCACCGGCUAACUCCGUGCCAGCAGCCGCGGUAAUACGGAGGGUGCGAGCGUUAAUCGGAAUUACUGGGCGUAAAGCGCAUGCAGGUGGUUUGUUAAGUCAGAUGUGAAAGCCCGGGGCUCAACCUCGGAAUUGCAUUUGAAACUGGCAAACUAGAGUACUGUAGAGGGGGUAGAAUUUCAGGUGUAGCGGUGAAAUGCGUAGAGAUCUGAAGGAAUACCGGUGGCGAAGGCGGCCCCCUGGACAGAUACUGACACUCAGAUGCGAAAGCGUGGGGAGCAAACAGGAUUAGAUACCCUGGUAG